ACGGGUGAGGAAUACAUCGGAAUCUACUUUUUCGUGGGGGAUAACGUAGGGAAACUUACGCUAAUACCGCAUACGACCUACGGGUGAAAGCAGGGGAUCUUCGGACCUUGCGCGAUUGAAUGAGCCGAUGUCGGAUUAGCUAGUUGGCGGGGUAAAGGCCCACCAAGGCGACGAUCCGUAGCUGGUCUGAGAGGAUGAUCAGCCACACUGGAACUGAGACACGGUCCAGACUCCUACGGGAGGCAGCAGUGGGGAAUAUUGGACAAUGGGCGCAAGCCUGAUCCAGCCAUACCGCGUGGGUGAAGAAGGCCUUCGGGUUGUAAAGCCCUUUUGUUGGGAAAGAAAUCCAGCCGGCUAAUACCUGGUUGGGAUGACGGUACCCAAAGAAUAAGCACCGGCUAACUUCGUGCCGGCAGCCGCGGUAAUACGAAGGGUGCAAGCGUUACUCGGAAUUACUGGGCGUAAAGCGUGCGUAGGUGGUUGUUUAAGUCUGUUGUGAAAGCCCUGGGCUCAACCUGGGAACUGCAGUGGAAACUGGACAACUAGAGUGUGGUAGAGGGUAGCGGAAUUCCCGGUG
rnacentral:rRNA from 1 species